rnacentral:misc_RNA from 1 species
UUUUCUGAAAUUUUUGUUUAUAUUGUUUUUUGGCGCGUACAUUUGGCAUGAAUUGUGAUGUUUCUUGUUUAUUCAUUGUCGUAAUGGUCGUAAGACAUGUUUCUUGUAAAAUUACGCCUGUUUUUUCGUAAAACAUAAUAAUUUGUUUGAUUUUAUUAUGUAUGUCCAUGCAAUACAGUUUUGCUCAAGAUUUUCCUUUAAUAUGUGUCACUUAAAUGUCAUAAAUAAUUUCAUAUUGCUUAUUUUAACUAUUUAUUAUUAAUUGUGUUAUCUUGGGGUUUUUACAUUAUUAUUUUUUUUUGCAUUUAAACUAUCAGAAAUUCUUCUGUUGUUAUAUGAACUGUUUUAAUCUUAAAAGUUAUUGUUUCCAAUCUCAAUUCUCCAAAAUAAAAGUCCUGAACUUAUAAUUUGAUUUACUGAACUUUAACUAGCAAAUCCUUAAGCUAAGCCAUGAAUACGUUUCCCGACAAGAAGAACUAUGGAAUUAAUUAUCUUAAAAGGCCAUGAUUUUAUUGAUCUUAUAAUUUGAUUUAUUUACUGAAAUGUACUUCACUAUUGAUAAUUAUUUGAAGAUAGCAAAUCCUAAAGCUAUGCCAUGAAUACAAUUGCAUGUAUGUCUAAAGUAUUGCAACGAAUUACUGAAAAUAUGGAUUCUUUUGAAAACAGUGAAAAUUUAACUAACAUGGCUAUUUCUGCUUGCAAUAUUGGAAGCUACACCAUAAAGAAUUUAUUACCGUGUACUCUAUUAGGGAAUGUACUGAAAAUUUUGAAAAAAUUUAAACCCAUAACAUCCAAUUAUCCCCAAAUUAUCAAAUUUCUCAACGAAGUUGACGAAUUUUAUCACAAGGGAAAUUUGUGCAAGUAUUACAAAAUAGUUAUUCUUACUAAUCAUUCACCAGCUGUUGAAUAUGAAAUACUCAACCUGUUGAAACUAUGUCUUGACAUUAAAACAUGCCAAGAUAUGAGCUUACUGAAAAUUGCUCUUUUAAGUUCUAAUUUACCUCAAGUCUGUACUGAAAAUCAUGAUGUAUACCUGAAAAUAAUUGCUAUUUUUAAAGAAGCAUUUUUAAUCAGUAAAGGCAACCCUCUGAUUUCUUAUUUAUCUAGCACAUUUGUAAAAGCUGUAAAUGACAGUGGUGUGCCAAGCUGUAUAAUGUUUGCGGAGCAUUUACAGCAUUUUGAAGCUUUGCUUUCUCUUCCUUUACAGAUUUGUUCAAAGGAGCAGCAGGCAUAUUGUCUGGAACAACUAAUAUUUAUGCUUGCUGAAGCUGUCAAUUUAAAACUUUGUGAAACUGAAGAUGUUUUGUACUUGACUGCUCUUUAUCCCAUGCAUUAUUAUCAUUUAUUAAAAUACUGCUCUGAAUCAAAUAAUAAUUAUGUAUUUGAAUUUUUAAAAAUUUUGUGGAAAUCUUUAUAUUUUGUUGAAAUUAAAGAAAAACAACAGCAUGUUUCUGCUAUAAUUACUAAUCCAAUAUGGAGAUUUUUAUCUGUUACUCAUCAGUAAACUUCACAAACAGUGAAAAAGUACAAAAAAUAUAAUGGGUUUUUAAUAAUGGAACAAUUCAGAGAAGAAACUUUCUUUACAAGUUGGAAUAUCUUUAAAUUAUCAGGUUGUUAUGAAGUUAAAGAAGGAAGUUGACGGUUUAUUAGGAUAUAAUUAUUUAUUCUGAGUUUUUUGAAUGGAGCCUCCUAAAAAGUUGCUUAGAAUGGAAGAGUUUGAUAUUAAGGAAAUGCUAAUAAAUAUGCAGUCAACAUUUUUGGGUAAAUU